UACAGAGGGGGCAAGCGUUGUUCGGAAUUACUGGGCGUAAAGGGCGCGUAGGCGGCCCGCUAAGUCGAACGUGAAAUCCCCAGGCUCAACCUGGGAACUGCGUCCGAUACUGGCAGGCUUGAAUCCGGGAGAGGGAUGUGGAAUUCCAGGUGUAGCGGUGAAAUGCGUAGAUAUCUGGAGGAACACCGGUGGCGAAGGCGGAUCUCUGGGCCUUACCUGAGGCUGAGGCGCGAAAGCUAGGGGAGCGAACAGG
rnacentral:rRNA from 1 species